CAUUCAUGUGACACCAACACAACAACAGUGAUCGACUGUUUGUGUCCGAUAUUGGACAUCAGAGAGUUGUAGUGAUCGACAUGGAUGGGCUGGUUAUUGAUGUAGUCGGUGGGCCUAGUCGUGGAUUUCAAGAUGGAGACCUAGUCUGACUACAACUCGACACGUUUCCGUGCACCUCAAAGAUUAGUGUGGUGCGAUGAUAUGUUGUACGGAGCUGAUACCGAGAAUCAUGCUAUUCGAAAGGUUGAUUUUGAAAGGUACGUCGGAAGGUGACAGCGUUAGUUGGGACGGGACAAAGAGGUAGGUGGUGAUCUUCAGGGUGCAAAGAUUGGUGUCGAACAAGCCAUUGGUUCUCCUUGGGAUGUCUGCAUUGCUAGUUUACCAAGGCGAGUGGGAAUGCAGUACAGGAGAAUGCAAGAAUGGUCUCUUUAUUGCGAUGGCUGGGCUCAUCAAAUAUGGACAUAUUUUCUAAGACGCAGCUCGUAUUUGGCUGGCACAUGAGUUCGGUUUGUGGGCAGUAGAGCUGAAGAGAAUCGCAACAAAUAUCCUCAUAAAGCUGCAUUUGCUCAGCCGUUGUGUCUUACAGUGGCUUGUCAGGAUGGCCGUUGUUGUUUGUAUGUGGCUGACAAUGAGAGCAGUAGCAUCAGGUCUCUGAGUCUUUAGGAUGGAGCAACAAAAGCUGUUGUGGGUGGAGCAUUGGAU